rnacentral:rRNA from 1 species
UACGUAGGGGCCGAGCGUUGUCCGGAGUUAUUGGGCGUAAAGCGCGCGCAGGCGGCCUCGCGCGCCCGACGUGAAAGCCCCCGGCUUAACCGGGGAGGGUCGUUGGGGACGGCGGGGCUUGAGGGCGGGAGAGGUCGGUGGAAUUCCCGGUGUAGUGGUGAAAUGCGUAGAGAUCGGGAGGAACAUCUGUGGCGAAGGCGGCCAUCUGGACCAGCACUGACACUGAGGCACGAAAGCGUGGGGAGCAAACAGG